rnacentral:rRNA from 1 species
UACGGGGGGGGCAAGCGUUGUUCGGAAUUACUGGGCGUAAAGGGCUCGUAGGCGGCCAACUAAGUCAUACGUGAAAUCCCUCGGCUUAACCGGGGAACUGCGUCUGAUACUGGAUGGCUUGAGUCCGGGAGAGGGAUGCGGAAUUCCAGGUGUAGCGGUGAAAUGCGUAGAUAUCUGGAGGAACACCGGUGGCGAAGGCGGCAUCCUGGACCGAUACUGACGCUGAGGAGCGAAAGCCAGGGGAGCAAACGGG